rnacentral:rRNA from 1 species
CAAUAGCGUAUAUUAAAGUUGUUGCAGUUAAAAAGCUCGUAGUUGGAUUUCUGGUGGGAGCGAUCGGUCUGGCGCUUAGCGCGAGUACUUGCAUUGUCUCCGGCCAUCCUUGGGGAGAGUCUGUCUGGCAUUAAGUUGUCGGGCAGAGGAUCCUCAUCGUUUACUGUGAAAAAAUUAGAGUGUUCAAAGCAGGCUUAUGCCGUUGAAUAUAUUAGCAUGGAAUAAUAAGAUAGGACUUUGGUACUAUUUUGUUGGUUUGCGCACCAAAGUAAUGAUUAAUAGGGACAGUUGGGGGUAUUCGUAUUCCGUUGUCAGAGGUGAAAUUCUUGGAUUUACGGAAGACGAACUACUGCGAAAGCAUUUACCAAGGAUGUUUUCAUUAA